rnacentral:rRNA from 1 species
GCCCGCGUUUCAUUAGCUAGUUGGUAAGGUAACGGCUUACCAAGGCGACGAUCAGUAGCCGACCUGAGAGGGUGAUCGGCCACACUGGAACUGAGACACGGUCCAGACUCCUACGGGAGGCAGCAGUGGGGAAUAUUGCACAAUGGGCGAAAGCCUGAUGCAGCAACGCCGCGUGAGCGAUGAAGGCCUUCGGGUUGUAAAGCUCUUUUCUUGGGGAAGAAUAAAUGACGGUACCCAAGGAAUCAGCCCCGGCUAACUACGUGCCAGCAGCCGCGGUAAUACGUAGGGGGCAAGCGUUAUCCGGAAUCACUGGGCGUAAAGGGUGCGUAGGUGGCUAAGCAAGUCAGAGGUGAAAGGCAACGGCUCAACCGUUGUAAGCCUUUGAAACUGUUUAGCUUGAGUGCAGGAGAGGAAAGUGGAAUUCCUAGUGUAGCGGUGAAAUGCGUAGAUAUUAGGAGGAACACCAGUGGCGAAGGCGACUUUCUGGACUGUAACUGACACUGAGGCACGAAAGCGUGGGGAGCGAACAGGAUUAGAUACCCUGGUAGUCCACGCCGUAAACGAUGAACACUAG